AAAAGGACAAAUCAGGAAAAUACUGUACAUAGUGCUUUAAUCGUGUUGUGUGAGGACGAAAAGCAUCCUAGCAGAAGAGGCAGCUCCGCAGAGGUGGCUAGGUGAGGCACACCCCCCAACAACCAUGGGGUGGGGGUGGCCUGCCUGAGUCUGGAGGCCUCCCUCGGAUCUAAGCGGCCCUUUGAUCUUGAGGGCACGUUUGGGGGAGGAGGGGUGGCCUCCAGAGUAGGGAGCCUCCCACAGUGGCACAGCCCACCUUUUCUUUCUUUCCUUUCUCUCAUGUGACACUUUUGCUUCCAUCUCUGAGCACCUAAGUCCCUAACAGGAUGAGGAAGGGGAGCAGGAGGGCCAGGAGGUCGGGUUAUCAGGUCCCCAUAUUCAGGGCUCAGUGGAGUCCCAGAGCCAUCCCACCGAGGCUGGCCCUCCUGGCUCUGGGGAUGGGCCGCUCCCGCCUGGGUGACUGGGUGAUGAGGAGGCUCGGGCUCCCACACCACCCUGGGCUGCUGGCAGCAGGAGCGGGCUGACCCCUGCAGACGAGAUGGGGCUCCUUGACCCCUGGACUCAGGCCUGCCAGCCUGGGGGAUGCUGCCCAGAGCUGCAAAGGCCACCAGUUCCCAGGGCUUGCUGUGUAUGCCCCUGGGGAGCGGGCAGGGGCACCCACGUCAGCCUCAGCACAAUGGGCUGCAUGGGUGGACAGGUGUGGUUGCACAGGGACCCAGCCGCCUGUUCUCCAGUACCUCCCUCCUUGCCCUGUGUCCUCCGCUAGGGCUGGGGGCAGGACGCCGUGGCCUAGGUGUGCCCGUGCCUCUCCCCCCUAAUUGAAAAGCUUGUCUUUUCCUUUCUCUGCUGUGGGCCUCACCGCAGAGAACAAGAGUCCGCAGGCCUGGUAGGAAGCAGCGAUGGCAGCAGGACCGCAAGGUCUACCAGCCCUGGGAUUCACAAGGCAGGCAGGGGCCCAAACAGGCCCGGCUCUGGCUGUUUGGCUGGUUUGUCUGUUCCCUUCAUGGCCUCGAUCAUACCUGCACCUGUCAAGGGACAUUUCCGGCUGGAGCAGACACCCAGGAGAAUCCUGGCUCUCCUGGCCUUAUCCAAUUGAAGAGGACAGCUGUCAGANCCUCCUCUCUCUCUCUCUUUCCUUUCUUGGGGAGAGUUGUUAGUAAUAUUAAUCUCUUUUUUGACCCGGUAAAAAUGCACAGAAAGAAAAAUGCUCCUAUAAACUAGUCUGUUUGCUCAAAUAUUGUCCUGAAGAAGGAUCUUCUAGAAGCCCUUCUCUCCAUAAGCUUCUCUUCCUCUCUCCCUUUCUCUUCAAUUAAUGAAGCAGAUAUUUACGGAUUUUGCCUCUUCUCUGUGUCUGGGGAGACCAAAAGGCAGCUGAUAGGAAGCUCAAGUGCAGGGGGAAGGAGGAGGGAGGGGUGGGGCAGGGGAAGAGUGGCUCCCCCGGGAGAGGGAGGCACCAGGUGAGGCUGUGUACCAGAGCCCAAGGGAGUCCCAGUGCCCUGCUUCAGGUGAUUUCACAGUGUGCACCCCCCUUGGUGCAGCCUG
rnacentral:lncRNA from 1 species